AAGCGCAUAGUUAAGGCUCAAGCUUUCUUUUUAAAAAUAUUUAAUUUUGACCUCAAAUCAGGUAGGACUACCCGCUGAACUUAAGCAUAUCAAUAAGGCGGAGGAAAAGAAACCAACAGGGAUUGCCUCAGUAACGGCGAGUGAAGCGGCAAAAGCUCAAAUUUGAAAUCUGUCUGUAUUUUUUACAGACCGAGUUGUAAUUUGAAGAUGGCAACUUUGGGAAUGGCCUUUAUCUAUGUUCCUUGGAACAGGACGUCACAGAGGGUGAGAAUCCCGUCUGAUGAGGAGAUCCAUUUCUUUGUAAAGUGCUUUCGAAGAGUCGAGUUGUUUGGGAAUGCAGCUCUAAGUGGGAGGUAAAUUCCUUCUAAAGCUAAAUAUUGGCGAGAGACCGAUAGCGAACAAGUACAGUGAUGGAAAGAUGAAAAGAACUUUGAAAAGAGAGUGAAAAAGUACGUGAAAUUGUUGAAAGGGAAGGAUAUUAGAUCAGACUUGGUGCUUGAUGAUAAUUGUUUUCUUGUAAGGCAAGUUUUUCUCUUGUACUGGGCCAGCAUCGAUUGGUGUGGUGGGAUAAUAACAAUUGAAUGUGGCUUUUCUUCGGAAAAGUGUUAUAGCUUUUGUUGAUACUGCCUGCGUCGAUCGAGGACUGCGUCAAUUUAUUGACUAGGAUGCUGGCGUAAUGAUCUAAUAUCGCCCGUCUUGAAAGCACGGACCAAGGGCGAAUUCCACAUUGG
rnacentral:rRNA from 1 species